CACUGCCGAGAAAAGCCUCUAGAUAGAAAAUAGGUGCCCGUACCGCAAACCGACACAGGUAGUCAAGAUGAGAAUUCUAAGGUGAGCGAGCGAACUCUCGUUAAGGAACUCGGCAAAAUGACCCCGUAACUUCGGGAGAAGGGGUGCUCUUUAGGGUUAACGCCCAGAAGAGCCGCAGUGAAUAGGCCCAAGCGACUGUUUAUCAAAAACACAGGUCUCUGCUAAACCGUAAGGUGAUGUAUAGGGGCUGACGCCUGCCCGGUGCUGGAAGGUUAAGAGGAGUGGUUAGCUUCUGCGAAGCUACGAAUCGAAGCCCCAGUAAACGGCGGCCGUAACUAUAACGGUCCUAAGGUAGCGAAAUUCCUUGUCGGGUAAGUUCCGACCCGCACGAAAGGCGUAACGAUUUGGGCACUGUCUCAACGAGAGACUCGGUGAAAUCAUAGUACCUGUGAAGAUGCAGGUUACCCGCGACAGGACGGAAAGACCCCGUGGAGCUUUACUGUAGCC
rnacentral:rRNA from 1 species